UCGUCAUAUUAUUUCCAUGACUC
rnacentral:snRNA from 1 species